rnacentral:rRNA from 1 species
GAUGAACGCUGGCGGCGUGCCUAAUACAUGCAAGUCGAGCGACCAGACGAGGAGCUUGCUCCUCUGACGUUAGCGGCGGACGGGUGAGUAACACGUGGAUAACCUACCUAUAAGACUGGGAUAACUUCGGGAAACCGGAGCUAAUACCGGAUAAUAUAUUGAACCGCAUGGUUCAAUAGUGAAAGACGGUUUUGCUGUCACUUAUAGAUGGAUCCGCGCCGCAUUAGCUAGUUGGUAAGGUAACGGCUUACCAAGGCAACGAUGCGUAGCCGACCUGAGAGGGUGAUCGGCCACACUGGAACUGAGACACGGUCCAGACUCCUACGGGAGGCAGCAGUAGGGAAUCUUCCGCAAUGGGCGAAAGCCUGACGGAGCAACGCCGCGUGAGUGAUGAAGGUCUUCGGAUCGUAAAACUCUGUUAUUAGGGAAGAACAAAUGUGUAAGUAACUAUGCACGUCUUGACGGUACCUAAUCAGAAAGCCACGGCUAACUACGUG